rnacentral:rRNA from 1 species
GCGUAAAGGGUGCGUAGGUGGUCUUUCAAGUCGGUGGUUAAAGGCUACGGCUCAACCGUAUUAAGCCGCCGAAACUGGAAGACUUGAGUGCAGGAGAGGAAAGUGGAAUUCUCAGUGUAGCGGUGAAAUGCGUAGAUAUUGAGAAGAACACCAGUAGCGAAGGCGGCUUUCUGGACUGUAACUGACACUGAGGCACGAAAGCGUGGGUAGCAAACAGGAUUAGAUACCCUGGUAGUCCACGCCGUAAACGAUGAGUAUUAGGUGUCGGGGGUUACCCCCCUCGGUGCCGCAGUUAACGCAUUAAAUACUCCGCCUGGGGAGUACGCACGCAAGUGUGAAACUCAAAGGAAUUGACGGGGACCCGCACAAGUAGCGGAGCAUGUGGUUUAAUUCGAAGCAACGCGAAGAACCUUACCUAAGCUUGACAUCUCUCAGAUCGGUAGUUAAUCCUACCUUCCCUUCGGGGCUGAGAUGACAGGUGGUGCAUGGUUGUCGUCAGCUCGUGUCGUGAGAUGUUGGGUUAAGUCCCGCAACGAGCGCAACCCUUGUCUUUAGUUGCCAGCAUUAAGUUGGGCACUCUAGAGAGACUGCCAGGGAUAACCUGGAGGAAGGUGGGGAUGACGUCAAAUCAUCAUGCCCCUUAUGCUUAGGGCUACACACGUGCUACAAUGGGUGGUACAGAGGGUUGCCAAGCCGCAAGGUGGAGCUAAUCCCUUAAAGCCAUUCUCAGUUCGGAUUGUAGGCUGAAACUCGCCUACAUGAAGCUGGAGUUACUAGUAAUCGCAGAUCAGAAUGCUGCGGUGAAUGCGUUCCCGGGUC